UCGCCAUCAAUAAUAAAAUAUCCCAAACAAAUGCCAGCUUUUGGAGGAGAUAAAAAAUGAAUUUAUUCAAGAUCUUGACAUACGUUAAAGGGUAAUUACCCUACAAAUUUGACUUCCUUGAUCAAGUCCAAGAUAUGUACAACUGUCCAAUGGUGAUAUAUUGACGAUAGUUAGAAAUUUCGUAGCAACUUCAGUGGAGAAAAACACCAGUACUGGCGCCUACAUAAAAAAAGAUGUUUCAAUGUUAUAGAGUCAAAUCUUUGCUUACAGAUGCUGCUUGCAUUUGUGUCACUUUUUCAAAAGAAAAUUUCUGCUUGCAUUUUAUGAUUUAGUUUAACAUGUAACUGAUGGAAUAAACUAAACUCUGUAAAUAUUUAAACUUCUCUUUCUCUUCUAUAGAUAUUUUAUUUCUUAGUAAAUUUUGUAAUUGUUUUUGAACAAAAGCACGCCCCUCGUGGAAAUCAACCCAGUUGACAAGGCCAGCGUGUCAAAAUAAAGAUUUUCAUUCAUUCAUUCUCAUAA